UUUUAUUCCAGGAAUCCAGGGGUUGGAGACUACAUGAGACUUUGACAGAUGGCGGGAAACCCUUCUCAACUGGUACGAAGCCGGAUAAUAGAUGGCCAUAAAACAGUGACCGCUGAUUCGCGUCGAAUUCUUUCUUGCACAACGUAGGGAAAUGUCUGGUACUUAGCCGAGGGCAACUGGAGAAGGGUUGUUGAUGGCAAAACAGGUUGGAGACUACAUGAGACUUUGACAGAUGGCGGGAAACCCUUCUCAACUGGUUGGAGACUACAUGAGACUUUGACAGAUGGCGGGAAACCCUUCUCAACUGGUAGGGAAAUGUCUGGGACUUAGCCGAGGGCAACUGGAGAAGGGUUGUUGAUGGCAAAACAGGUUGGAGACUACAUGAGACUUUGACAGAUGGCGGGAAACCCUUCUCAACUGGUUGGAGACUACAUGAGACUUUGACAGAUGGCGGGAAACCCUUCUCAACUGGUAGGGAAAUGUCUGGGACUUAGCCGAGGGCAACUGGAGAAGGGUUGUUGAUGGCAAAACAGGUAGGGAAAUGUCUGGGACUUAGCCGAGGGCAACUGGAGAAGGGUUGUUGAUGGCAAAACAGGUAGGGAAAUGUCUGGGACUUAGCCGAGGGCAACUGGAGAAGGGUUGUUGAUGGCAAAACAGGUAGGGAAAUGUCUGGGACUUAGCCGAGGGCAACUGGAGAAGGGUUGUUGAUGGCAAAACAGGUUGGAGACUACAUGAGACUUUGACAGAUGGCGGGAAACCCUUCUCAACUGGUACGAAGCCGGAUAAUAGAUGGCCAUAAAACAGUGACCGCUGAUUCGCGUCGAAUUCUUUCUUGCAUAACGUAGGGAAAUGUCUGGGACUUAGCCGAGAGCAACUGGAGAAGGGUUGUUGAUGGCAAAACAGUUUAAAGACACCCAUGAACACAUUCACAGUAAACGCCAGAUUGUGCGUACUUGUGACGUUCCUGCUGGUACAUGGUAUAAUCGCCCUGAAAACGCCAUAGAUUCACAAGCAAAGCCGUGUAAAUGCCAAGGGCGAGGUAUUGUCUUAGCAGACGCGCCAAGAACGUAGUGUGGACGCUUCAAUGUCGCCAUUGAUCGGAUCUGCUGACCUAAAUUAUCUUGUUCCGAUGAUCGACCGAUAACAAUCCGGUAGUAAUAGUAGAGCAAAGUCCUUUUCAAGCACCCAAACAACCCCUGUCUGAUGGACUCAAUAUAAACAUGAUUGACCAGGUUUAAAUCAUGAUAGAUUAUGUUUAAAGAACCGUGGUUGACAUUGAAAUGACCAUGCUUUUUCAAUGUUCAAAUGUUUUAUUAGGGUGUAUUGACGCUUUGAUGACCAUGGUUUUUAAACGCUAAUUGUGUUUCAUUGUCCUACACAAUUACAAUGGUCAACAAUAUUAAAUAGACCGCAUUGUUUAUACUCUUUCUAGUCAACCAUGGUUUAACCAUAACUAUUAUGACAAUUAUGAUUCAUGUGUAAUUCACCUGUUAAUUACCAUUAUCAAACACGUUUCGCAGACCGCGUGGUGAAAAGCCGCCCUGGCACCAUUGCAAACAAUGGUUUGGCCAUUAUUCAAAUGAAUAUGAUUAAUCGUUCAUCAUGCUAUACAUUUCUAUGUUCAAACAUAAUUUAUAGUCUGCUCUAGAGUCCUGGUCAAUCGUGUUUUGAUCAUAAUCAUUAGACUAGGAUUUAUCACGAUAACUUUAAUGGUUAUAAGCAAUGUAUCUUUUGUCAUGUCAAUAAACAAAACACAACAACAGAAUUAAAUUGACAUUCGAAACGAAUGCGGGUAAAGCGAAUAUUCUUUCACAGAGAAAUAAGGUGCAUUUAUGUUGUUCCAAGAUUCAUAAAAAUUGAGUAUGGUUGUCCUUUUAAAAAAUACGCAUGUUAUUCGUGCAUUAACAAAUAUAAUGUCUUAUAUUAUCUAAUAAUGUUUGUUGCAAGCUGGCCAUUUAUAAUAACAUCUCUAGAAAAUCAACAUCUUAUUAAUUUUGCACCGAGAGUAACAAAAUUUAAACUAUUUGUAACGUCAACGAGUCAUUGAAUU